rnacentral:misc_RNA from 1 species
GUGAAUCAUCGAAUCUUUGAACGCAAAUUGCGCCUUUUUCGGAAGGCAUGUCUGUUUGAGGGCACCAUUUAACAAAUAAUGUGCAUUUCGUGUGCACACGUUGAUGAGCUUUCCAAAAUUAUGUAUUAUUAUUUUUGGUGGCGCAUAAUAAACAGCGCGAUGCUUUUUUUAGUUCGUAUGUGGUUAAAUUUUUUUUUGGUUUGGUUGCUGAAAGCCU